AGUUAAAUAGUUUUAAAAUAAAAUAUUAAUUUUGUAAAUUAAAGUUAAGUCUUCCAUUUUUUAACUG
rnacentral:tRNA from 1 species